GACGAACGCUGGCGGCGUGCUUAACACAUGCAAGUCGAGCGGUUCGACGUUUGACACUGGGUAUUUAUUUGUUAGCAGACAGCGUCUAGUACUGAAAGUGCUACACGCGUUCAUAAAAUGAUAACACAUGAGUGCUGAGUGUUGAACGUCGGAUAGCGGCGGACGGGUGAGUAACGCGUGGGCAACCUGCCUUAAACAGGGGGAUAACACUGGGAAACUAGUGCUAAUACCGCAUAAUCUUUUUCCAGAACAUUCUGGGAUUAGCAAAGGAGCAAUCCGGUUUAAGAUGGGCCCGCGUCCGAUUAGCUAGUUGGUGAGGUAACGGCCCACCAAGGCGACGAUCGGUAGCCGAACUGAGAGGUUGAUCGGCCACAUUGGGACUGAGACACGGCCCAGACUCCUACGGGAGGCAGCAGUGGGGAAUAUUGCACAAUGGGGGAAACCCUGAUGCAGCAACGCCGCGUGAAGGAUGAAGGUUUUCGGAUUGUAAACUUCUUUGAUGAGGGACGAAAAAUGACGGUACCUCAAAAACAAGCCACGGCUAACUACGUGCCAGCAGCCGCGGUAAUACGUAGGUGGCGAGCGUUGUCCGGAAUUACUGGGUGUAAAGGGCGUGUAGGCGGGGAUGUAAGUCAGAUGUGAAAUUCCAUGGCUCAACUGUGGCGCUGCAUCUGAAACUAUGUCUCUUGAGUGCUGGAGAGGAAAGCGGAAUUCCUAGUGUAGCGGUGAAAUGCGU
rnacentral:rRNA from 2 species